AGCAGCCGCGGUAAUUCCAGCUCCAAUAGCGUAUAUUAAAGUUGUUGCAGUUAAAAAGCUCGUAGUUGAAUUUCGGGAUUGACGUGAUGGUCGUGCCUUACGGGGUAUGAACUGUUGCAGUCAAUUUCUCACCUUCUGGAGAAAUAUGAUGUCCUUAAUUGGGUGUCAUAUGGAACCAGAACUUUUACCUUGAAAAAUUAGAGUGUUUAAAGCAGGCUUAUUGCUCGAAUACAUUAGCAUGGAAUAAUAAAAUAGGACGGCAUGGUUCUAUUUUGUUGGUUUCUAGGAUCACCGUAAUGAUUAAUAGGGAUAGUUGGGGGCAUUAGUAUUCAAUUGUCAGAGGUGAAAUUCUUGGAUUUAUUGAAGACUAACUACUGCGAAAGCAUUUGCCAAGGAUGUUUUCAUUAAUCAAGAACGAAAGUUAGGGGAUCGAAGACGAUCAGAUACCGUCGUAGUCUUAACCAUAAACUAUGCCGACUAGGAAUCAGACGAUGUUAAUUUUUAAUGACUCGUUUGGCUA
rnacentral:misc_RNA from 1 species